ensembl:lncRNA
AGCACCGUGAUACGUGCCUGUGUAUUUGACCUCCUGCUUGCAAGCAAUGAAUGGACUUUUUGCAACUUUGAUCAUUCAUCAAGACUCUGUUUUAUCAGACAAAUCAUUCUCUUCUACCGAGCUUUUAUUGAAAUAUUCCAUAACAAUUUGGCGUCACGAACAGGAUUCCCUGACCGUCCGUCAGGCUCCAGGGGACCGUCCGGAGAAAAAGGCCUUUUCCAGGAUCACCAACCGAUGAUCCUGCCUCAUACCUCCUUAGACAAGAGAGAAAGGACCGGCGGAAACCAGAGGAGUCCUGAUCGACGUCACGUGUAUCCAGCGAAAAAUAAUUAAUUUCUACAAACUCGGGUAAGAAGUUGAAAUUCCGAUUAUAAAGUAACAGUAAGAGUUGAACAUAGAGACAGAUGACUGAUCAAGUGGUUGUUAUAGUCUGGGGAAUAAAAUUAUUUUUAAAACAUUUUGGGUGUUUUUUUUCUUAUAAUAAUCUUUUAAUUUUUUUUUGAGUACAUGAUUCCGGGAUAUUUCUAAUGCAUCAUUUUAUGCGAAGGUAGAUAGGAUCGUGUACGAUUUCACUCGGAACAAAUUCUCCGAGAUCGUAACGCAGAUCGCUUGACUACCCGGGUAAAAUAAGACCGUUGCUAUUGAUCAAACGUGAAUUCCACCUGUGGAAUAAGAUCGUGGAAAUAGCCUACGUGAAUUUUAUGCUGAAGCAGGUAAAACGAUAUCACUGUUUUUGUUAACCAAACGUGAGUUCUACUGAAUUACCUUUAGAACAAGAUCGUGGCAAAAUCGAAGCGUGAGUUUUGAGUGGGGUUUUUGCAAAGUUUUUCCUUGAGUAAAGAAACUAAGCCUUACGGUGACGACUGUAUUGUAAUAAGUAAACCGGUAGGGUCCACCAGUAAAAGAUGGGUGGCCAGUCCGCAAAACACACGGAACCAUCGGGUCCGAUUGUGGCAAUGAUGCAGCAGAAAUACGGGAAAACAUGUACAGAGUGUCUCCCAUACUGGACAAAAGAGUUUGGGUUUCCAGAAAACGGCUCGUUGAGUGCCGCUAAACUUAAAAUGUUAAGAGGGGAUUUGGAAGAAAGGUAAAAAAAAAAAAUCUAUCUAUCGAUCUAAGUUGAAGACUUGGAAAUAAUAGAUAAAAAGCAGACAUGUCUGGCACAAUGGGAAAUGGAAUGUGAAUGCAGGGAGAGAAAAGAAUGAUGAAGAAAAUGACGUGUUUAAAAACUGAAAAACCUGACAUUGAAACACAGAAUAAUCCAUGUGUGUCUUCCCCAGUGUAUCCGUCCCUGACAGGCGCAGGCGGUCCUCUCCUGAACACGUGUUGUCAAAUUCCUGCACCACCUCCAGUCCAACAAUCAUCACCACCGUACAACCCCGAUCCUACGGUUGGCAGACCUGUAACACGCAGUCAAACCCGGCUGGGAGACCAGGGAGGUGCAGACGUCAAAUCAUGUUCACCCCUCAACCCAUUCAGACCUGACCCCACAGCUCAGUCCCCCCCGGACUCUGCAUGGUCAAUCCACGACCCAUCCCCCUGGAGGGGCACAGCCAGCAGAAUUGUGGAUUUUCUUAGUCUUAACACCACCAUGGACAAUAAACUGGAUGGGUCUUAUAUUCAAGCCCCCAUUUCAAGUUCCAGUGCCACAGGAUGGACUACCUGCCUCCCAUCUGCCCACCAUAAAAAAUGGCGUGGCUUUUGGAAAAGACACAACAGCCAUCUGUGCUGCUGUGGUUGCGGCCUUCCCAGUCAACAUGGCCCCCAUCAACAGCACGAAACAAGAACGCCUUCAUGAACGGGCUUCUGCCAGACGUCAAAACUGCCACUGAACGCUCUGUCGUGGGUCUGGAAGAUGCAAGGCUCACAGAAGUGGUAAAACAUGCACGACACAACUAUAAAAUGCAUGUGGAAAAUCAAAUGUGUCAAGACAAACGCAGCAAGCAGACUGGGGAGAAAGCCCAGCUUGCGAUGCUCCAAGCCGUAAAACAGUUGACACUGGGUGCAGAAGGAGGACGAGACCCCCACCCAUCCAGAAAAUCUUAUGGGAGGGACCAACAGAGAGGACGAGCGUAUGGAAUAAAUCAUGGGAGAAGAGGGCGUUUUCAAGGAGGGGCCCCACGAGAAGUGCAACCCGAUGAAUGCUUCCUCUGUGGCAAAACAGGACAUUGGUACAAAGACUGCCCCUACCGUUCAAACCAGGUACGUCAGCCACGUGGACGACAGAGGGGGUCAACAAUUCGGCACUUCAGACUGACGGUGUGUGUGGGAUGGAGAUUGCAUGUGUGAAGGAGGACCGACUGCUUCCUCUCCAAAACAGGGAAGUGAAACACACCACACACACCACACACACACACACAAACACAAUGAUGCAACGAAGACCUGCUUCCUCGCACGCACACACACACACCACACACACACACAAACACAAUGAUGCAACGAAGACCUGCUUCCUCGCACGCACACUACAGAACAACAUGCUGAUGGUCACA